AUUCUUGGUCAUUUAGAGGAAGUAAAAGUCGUAACAAGGUUUCCGUAGGUGAACCUGCGGAAGGAUCAUUACAGAGUUCAUGCCCUUCGGGGUAGAUCUCCCACCCUUGUGUAUCAUUAUAGAAUGUUGCUUUGGCGGGCCGCGCCUAGUGUGCCUGGAUUCGCGUCCAGCGUGCCCGCCAGAGGACCCCUAAACUCUGAAUGUUAGUGUCGUCUGAGUACUAUUAAAUAGUUAAAACUUUCAACAACGGAUCUCUUGGUUCUGGCAUCGAUGAAGAACGCAGCGAAAUGCGAUAAGUAAUGUGAAUUGCAGAAUUCAGUGAAUCAUCGAAUCUUUGAACGCACAUUGCGCCCCCUGGUAUUCCGGGGGGCAUGCCUGUUCGAGCGUCAUUUAUACCAAUCUAGCCUGGCUAGGUGUUGGGCUUCGCCGUCUGGCGGGCCUUAAAACUAGUGGCGGUGCUCUUAGGCUCUACGCGUAGUAAUUUUCUCGCUAUAGGGUCCUGGGAGAUGCUUGCCAGCAACCCCAAAUUUUUCUAGGUUGACCUCGGAUCAGGUAGGGAUACCCGCUGAACUUAAGCAUAUCA
rnacentral:rRNA from 1 species